UACGUAGGGUGCGAGCGUUGUCCGGAAUUAUUGGGCGUAAAGAGCUCGUAGGCGGUUUGUUGCGUCUAUCGUGAAAACCUGCAGCUUAACUGUGGGCUUGCGGUGGAUACGGGCAGACUUGAGUUCGGUAAGGGAGACUGGAAUUCCUGGUGUAGCGGUGAAAUGCGCAGAUAUCAGGAGGAACACCGGUGGCGAAGGCGGGUCUCUGGGCCGAUACUGACGCUGAGGAGCGAAAGCGUGGGGAGCGAACAGG
rnacentral:rRNA from 1 species